UACGUAGGUGGCAAGCGUUGUCCGGAAUUACUGGGCGUAAAGGGCGCGUAGGCGGUCCUUCAAGUCAGGCGUGAAAGCCCCGGGCUCAACCUGGGAACCGCGCUUGAGACUGGCGGGCUAGAGUUCGGGAGAGGAUGGUGGAAUUCCCAGUGUAGAGGUGAAAUUCGUAGAUAUUGGGAAGAACACCGAUGGCGAAGGCAGCCAUCUGGACCGACACUGACGCUGAGGCGCGAAAGCGUGGGGAGCAAACGGG
rnacentral:rRNA from 1 species